rnacentral:rRNA from 1 species
CAAUAGCGUAUAUUAAAGUUGUUGCGGUUAAAAAGCUCGUAGUUGGAUUUCUGCUGAGAACGACCGGUCCGCCCUUUGGGUGUGUAUCUGGCUCUUUCUUGGCAUCUUCUUGGUGAACGUUGCUGCACUUGACUGUGUGGAGCGCUACCCAGGACUUUUACUUUGAGGAAAUUAGAGUGUUUCAAGCAGGCAUACGCCUUGAAUACAUUAGCAUGGAAUAAUAAGAUAGGACCUCGGUUCUAUUUUGUUGGUUUCUAGAGCUGAGGUAAUGAUUAAUAGGGAUAGUUGGGGGCAUUCGUAUUUAACUGUCAGUGGUGAAAUUCUUGGAUUUGUUAAAGACGGACUACUGCGAAAGCAUUUGCCAAGGAUGUUUUCAUUG